GUACUGCUGAAGAGUCCCAAACCAGGAAGAAACGGCUGUCCAGUAC
rnacentral:hammerhead_ribozyme from 1 species